rnacentral:rRNA from 1 species
UACGUAGGGUGCAAGCGUUGUCCGGAAUUAUUGGGCGUAAAGAGCUCGUAGGCGGUCUGUCACGUCGGCUGUGAAAUCCCGAGGCUCAACCUCGGGUCUGCAGUCGAUACGGGCAAACUAGAGUAUUGCAGGGGAGUCUGGAAUUCCUGGUGUAGCGGUGAAAUGCGCAGAUAUCAGGAGGAACACCGGUGGCGAAGGCGGGACUCUGGGCCGAUACUGACGCUGAGGAGCGAAAGCGUGGGGAGCAAACAGG